AAAUGCAAAUGCGGAAGAGAUAAGUGCUGAAAGCAUCUAAGCACGAAACUUGCCCCGAGAUGAGUUCUCCCUGAGACUUWRAGUCUCCUGAAGGAACGUUGAAGACGACGACGUUGAUAGGCCGGGUGUGUAAGCGCAGCGAUGCGUUGAGCUAACCGGUACUAAUGAACCGUGAGGCUUAACCUU
rnacentral:rRNA from 1 species